rnacentral:antisense_RNA from 1 species
CUGCUUGCAGCGCGCUUCGGUCAGCGUCAGGCAGAUCAGGCCGCGCGCAUGCUUGGCCAUGAAGUUGAUUGCUUCCGGCGUCACAUGCUCGGCAGCCAUGACCA